rnacentral:rRNA from 1 species
UCGGCGGCCACCGUGGUGCCCUUCGACCCGCCCCUCCCUCUGCUUCGCGCGCCAGUCCCUUCCUCUUCCUUCGCCGCCUCCGCCGAGCCCCCCGUCCUCGCCUUCCGCAAUGCCGCGAGCUGGCGAGCCGCCUGGGAGGCCGCCGAGGCCAGCCUCUUCUCCCAGUGCGAGCUGGCCGAGCUGCCUCGCGCUAGUCAAUGCCAGGCAGCAAGUUUAGCAGCUACGUACAUCAAACAGUGCAGACAAACCCCUGACUAG